GGGCACCUACGGGACGCAGCAGUAGGGAAUCUUCCACAAUGGGCGAAAGCCUGAUGGAGCAACGCCGCGUGGGUGAAGAAGGUCUUCGGAUCGUAAAACCCUGUUGUUAGAGAAGAAAGUGCGUGAGAGUAACUGUUCACGUUUCGACGGUAUCUAACCAGAAAGACACGGCUAACUACGUGCGAGCAGCCGCGGUAAUACGGAGGGGGCAAGCGUUAUCCGGAUUUAUUGGGCG
rnacentral:rRNA from 1 species